CCGCGCCUGCGCCCAGCGACCCCCGGACCGGCCCCGCGUGGAGGCGCGCGCGCCCCCCGCGGGCAGUCGGCCCGACCCUCCGUGGCGCGGAGCUUCCUCACGCGGCCGCGGCCGGCCCCCGUCACGCGCGGCGGCCUCGCGCCGGCCCGGCUGUCAGUCGCACACGCGCAGGCGGCUGCCCAGCCCACUGUCACGCACAGGCCCGGCCGCGGCGUCUCCCUCAAGCCCGCUCCCUGAGCGCCGCCCGCGCAGCGACCGCGAGGAGAGCCACUCCCGAGACUCACCCCUGCAGUUUAGCUGCCCCUGUCACAGAACACUGCCCAAACUAAAGGCACCUUCGGGCACAGUGGAGCCUGUCUGACUGAGGUUGAGCCAGGCAGAGCCAGACAGAGCAGGACAACGUACUGCCUUUCAGAGGUGAGAGGCCCAGCAGAGCACCCGCAGCUGAUGCUAGAGAAAGAUCCAGGCUUCCAGCAACGUAUUCUACAGGCACCAGGUACAGAGCAGAAGAGGAAGGGAAUGGAAAUACUUGCAAGAUGUCUGUAUAAUGGAAAUCCUAAGGAGGAAAAGCAGAACAAACAAAGAUGAGGAUAUAAAGAUGUGAAUGAGCUCAGGACAAUCUUUUCAGUAGCUGGAGCAUGUGCUACUGUGGCUCUCUAAAGUCCUGAUCCUUUCAAUGACCUGUGAGACCAGAAGUAGUGUAACCCUGGCUAUGACUGCAAGCAAACCGACCCAAGUUUCUAGAAAGGGGGCAAGGACAGGGUACAUCAAAGGGACACAUUUCAGCUGUGCUCUUUUUUACCCUUGACUAACCAAAUUUUUUAAAUUGUCAAAAAUCUGUAAGUCACAUAAUGCUUGAGUUAAAUUUCUUGAAGGAGCAGAGAUGGAGUAGAAGGUAUAAUAUUACAUGAGAGAAGUGAAUGAGCAAAACAUAGAUACAAGAGCAAGCAGACUCUUAGGAGAAAUCCCUGGAGGCUAAGCUGAAAGGUGUACAGCAGAGCCCCAUGAUGGCAGCCUCCCAUAAACUGGACCUGAAGUUCCCCAUGAAGUAAAACCACCAAAUACCACCCUUCACCCGCUAUGACAAAAACUUACUCUUCACAGACCUUUGGGUCAGAUCAGGUCAGUGGACUCAUGCUUUAAUCAUCCCUUUACUCCAAACAUGUAGCAAUGAAAGUGCUCCAUGUAAGAAGGGCAGCCUGAAGCCAGGUCUGUGUUAGCUUGGGCUGAGCUGGGCUAGAAGCCUCCCUCUAAGACAGGAGGAAUGGGCGGUGAAGUGGAGAGCAAAGAGGAGGAAAAGGGACUGACACCCAGGCAAAAACUACCUCCCAGUCAAACGGGUUUACAAACAAAUUCCAAAAUAAUGAGGAAAAUGGGUUAGAAGGACUGCCAACAAAACAAUAAUUAGUACGUGAAUUUACUUCAGGUAACGUUUUAAAGAACAAAGACUUUCAAGAGGAAAAAAAUAUAACAUCUACUAAAAAGGACAAAAAAUGAUAAAAUAAAGCACAGCUUAAAUGAAAUGAAAUCAGGUAAAUAUGAAAUAAAAAUAAUUAUUUCAAAACAAAAAUAAUAACUGAAAACAAAGUAUAGAUGGGGUAAACUUUAGAAUGGAUGUAAUCAAACAGAGAAUUAGUGAAUAGAAUUAAGUCCUAGAGAACUCCCCCCAAAUGAAGACCAGACCUAAUGAGAUAAAGAAAUAAAUGACAGGAAUGACCUAGAAGCUAUGGAAGAAAUAAUGGCUGAGAGUUUUCUAGAAUAAAAAUGCUUUUGUCCUCGAAUUGAAAGUCUAGUCUGAGUAUCUUUAAAAAUAUAUCUAUACUUAGAUACACCACAGAGCACCAAUAAUAAAGAUGUAUUCUCUACUGGAGAAAAGAUAGAGCAUGAGAAUGAAAAUAAAGAAACUUCCAGGUAAACAAAGGAAAAAUCUGCCACCUAUGGAAACUCACUAAAUAAAUGGUAAAGGAUGUAUUUCAACAAGUAAACAUGGAGAGAAGGUACUGAGUACAGAAAUUAAUCAAGUAUUUGACUGUGACGGCAGUUGACUAGUGAGAAGCUAAGGUUUUAUGGAUGACUGUGUUUUUUAAAAAUAUAAAAAGUGUCACUAUUCAGAAACUCCAAAAGACACAGACCCUUUCAGAAUAAGAGUUAAGCAGUGUUGCCAGAUAGAAGAUCACUAUUAAAAAAUCAACAGCAUUACCACCCCAGUAAUAACAAAAAUGUAACAACAACAACAACAAAAAGCUUAUUCAAUAGCACAAAAAACUAAAAGGUCUCUAAGAAAAGUUUUUUAAAAAUGUGUAAAACCUUUAUGGAGAAAAUUACGAAACAAUAUUGAAGGAUGUAUUCAAAGACAUGAAUUAAUGAGAGGGGUGAUAUGUUCAUGGAUGGAAGAUUCAAUAAAAUAAUAUUAAUAUUUUCUCCCUAUUAAUCUAUAAUUUCAAUGCAAUCUUAUUAAAAAAGUCUCAACAGUCUUCAUUAGAACUUGACAAAUUUAUCUCAAAAUUAAUGUGAAACAGCAGAGAGCCAAGACAAUUUUGAAGAAUGAGAUGAAGGAAACUUGUCCGACUCAAGAGUAAGACUUUAUGAAGCUACAGCAGUUAAGACAGCAUGUUACUGAUGAAGAAACAGACAAAUGAAACAGGACAGAGAGCCCAGAAACAAUAUGACAUAUAUGUAGAAAUGUGACAUGUGACAGACGGGGUAACCACAACUAAAUUGUUCUGGGACAACUGGUCAUGCAUUUGGAAAAAAAUAUAUUAGAUCUCAACCUCAUACCAUACACAAAAAUACAUUCCAGUGGAUCAAAGAUCCAAAUAUAAAAAGCAAAAUUUUAGAAACAUUGGCCAGGAUCUGGAAAAAAGAGACCCUUGUGCGCAAUGUUGGGAGGAUGAUGGUGAUUUAAACUGGUUCAAGUACUUCAGAGAACAAUCUGGAAAUACCUAAUAAAGAAUCUUUAAGGGAAAUUUUCAUCUAUAUACACAAGGAAAAUGUGUUUAUUCCAGCAGUAUUUAUAUUAGCAAAUGACUGU